UACGAGGGGGGCAAGCGUUGUUCGGAAUUAUUGGGCGUAAAGGGCGCGUAGGCGGAUUGCUAAGUCAGGGGUGAAAUCCUGGAGCUCAACUCCAGAACUGCCUUUGAUACUGAAGAUCUCGAGUCCGGGAGAGGUGAGUGGAACUGCGAGUGUAGAGGUGAAAUUCGUAGAUAUUCGCAAGAACACCGGUGGCGAAGGCGGCUCACUGGCUCAUAUCUGACGCUCAGGCGCGACAGCGUGGGGAUCAAACAGG
rnacentral:rRNA from 1 species